AAGAGAGAGGGAAAGAAAGAAAAUCCCACGCAGGCAGCCACAGGGCUCAAACUCACAAACUGUGACAUCAGAACCUGAGCUGAAAUUAAGAGUCGAACGCUUAACUGACUGAGCCGCCCAGGCACCCCCAAGAUGGGCACAUUUUAGAGGUAAUACUUCCAUAGUGUUUUUAGCUUUCAUAACUUACUCUUUUUAAUCUUUCACAGCAUAUUAUGAUGUAUUUGUUGCAUAUUAGUUUCAUUCUUGAUAGAUGAGACAACCAAAGUCAUGGACUACUGAAAUGAAUCGCAAGGCCACAGUCUUUAGUUAAUCCCAAGGAAGGGCUGCUCUCCAGAUUCCCAGGUGAAUCCUUCCACAGCCUUUCGGAAAAAGAGUUGCUAGAAACAGGCUUCCUGGUUGGAUGAAGACCAUUUUUAAGGCAACUUCACAUGUGAGAUAAAUGCACUCAGAGACUCCUCACAAGUAGCUCUUUGGAGCUUCAGAUGUGAAAUGGAUCAUUCCUCAAUCUGUAAUAGACCCUUCUGUGAAGCUCUUCAAUCAAACCUGAGAAUUCAAGGCGUUUUGUAGCAUCCUAAACAGAAGGAUAUUGAAGGGAGCUGAUUCUGCUUUGAUCCUUGUGCUUGUUGUCAAAGCGCUUGGGAUUGAAGAGACUGUUGGCUACAAUUGACUGUGACAAUUAGGAGAUGAUCAGAGCCCUAGAGUGGAGCACUUAAAGGGUUUGCAUUUAAAACGCUCUUGGAGCACUAAUUGUAUGAAAUUCUGGUAGCUGCACAUUCUCUUUUUGGAGAGGUAAUGAGUGAAUGAAUGAAAAGGCAGGGAUCAUUUGCCAUUCUAAGAGCGGGGAUUGUCAGAAUAUUUCUACUUGACUGAAAUUGUUUUGGAAGGUGAGCUGGAACAAGAAUCUUGCAACUAAAAUGAAGUGACUCUGCAUGUGGUUUUGGGAUGUUUCUCUUCUCUGCAGAGCUGUUCUGGGACUUGGAAGUUGACUUAGAUUUUAUUUAUAAGGUGAAUCCUGUGAAAACAUUUUAAAGUACGCAUCUUUGAGUCUUAACAAGUAGGCGGGAGUCUUUGGAAAGCUCAUUUGGAAUUAUUUGAAAAGACUUUUCCUGUUACUAUCACAGUGUUUUUUCAAUAUACAGAUUGCCAGGUUGUGACAAAAUAAAUUAUUGAAAGCUUUCAAAAGUUUUUAGAAAUGUGCCCAAGGAAACAAUAUGCAAAUUGUUAGAGUUAAUUCACAUGUCAAUUUAUUGAAAUGUUGCUACUACUGAGGAGUCCAAGAACCUUUAGCACAACAUUCCAGAACAUUUACAGUCUUGUUUUAAUGAGUAGCUCUUUCUUUGUACUUGUUUGUAGCAAUAGAGUUGCCAGAUAGAGCAAAUAAAAAUAAAGAAUUCCUAGUUAAAUUUGAA